GGUAUGUAAAGCUCUAUCAGCAGGGAAGAAAAUGACGGUACCUGACUAAGAAGCCCCGGCUAACUACGUGCCAGCAGCCGCGGUAAUACGUAGGGGGCAAGCGUUAUCCGGAUUUACUGGGUGUAAAGGGAGCGUAGACGGCAUGGCAAGCCAGAUGUGAAAACCCAGGGCUCAACCUUGGGAUUGCAUUUGGAACUGCCAGGCUGGAGUGCAGGAGAGGUAAGCGGAAUUCCUAGUGUAGCGGUGAAAUGCGUAGAUAUUAGGAGGAACACCAGUGGCGAAGGCGGCUUACUGGACUGUAACUGACGUUGAGGCUCGAAAGCGUGGGGAGCAAACAGGAUUAGAUACCCUGGUAGUCCACGCGGUAAA
rnacentral:rRNA from 1 species